rnacentral:misc_RNA from 1 species
CGCGCCGCACAGGGUGCGUCACCGCGAUUGUGCGACCACGCACGCGCCACCAAGCACAAGGGCAAACACUCGCGCGCUUUUCAGCACCCUUCCCUUCCCCUCCCUCUCCUUCGUGCAGCAUACCGAUCUUUUCCUUGGCUCUGUUGCUUUCUCAAAUCGCGUCGUCUUCUCUUUUUUUCCCCAUCCUACUCUGAAGAUCACGCACGUGUCACCGCCCCUUGUGCCUUUCUUCACGGAGUCUUGGUCAUCCCUUUCCUUUCCGCUCCGCUAACUCGCAGGUGACAGAGAGCGGCGUGGUGAAGUUGUCUCCUUGCAGGGACGCUCUCCCGGAAUUCGGUACCGUUAACGCCGAUUGGUCAUUCUCCAUGUAGACUCCCGCGCUGUCUCUCUCUCUCCCCUGCGCGUAAUGUUGGACUUAAGAGUCGCCUACAUUUUGUGGGUGGUCAUCUGCUUCGUGGCGCUGCUUAUCUUGGUCACGUUUUCUAUUCUACGCAUGUGCAAGCCCGGUUUCUUUGGACUGGGCUUGCCCCGAGAGGAGGAUGAGAUAUCGGUCAUACCCGCCACAAUACUCGUGAACCGCGUGAACGACGACGAUUCCAGCACCCCCACAAGCAGCGACACCGGAGCGCACCUCUAUAGCGUUGUGUCUGCUCAGGGAGAGCGGCGUCCAGAGCAGCUCGCCACUCGUGUGCAUAGCGGGGUGGACCCACUGUACUACAACUCCGAAAACUCCAAUACGGUCGAUAGGCCGGUGACGCACUCACCGAUCACGCCCAGAGAGGAACGUAGCGCUCAACGCGGCAGAAGCGGUGCGCUAUUCGCAAUUCACUCCACUAGGCUCCCCUAUGACGGGCAGCAGCACGGCAGUCAUCGAAGAAGUCGCCGAAGCGCUAGCACGCGCACAAAUGGAAGCGAGAGAAGCCUCAGGCCGCACAACGCCAGCCACAGCAGCGAACUGGGCCUCCCCUACGGCAGCAUCGAAAGCAACACCGAUGGCAGUGCGAUGCCGGCUCCUCCUCGCAUCGAUGGCAUGAGUACGUCGCGGAGCCGCAAUCGCAGUAGUGGACGCCGUCGCUCGUACCCUAUGGCGGCUAACGUCAUGCCGAUCGGUUUCAUCAAUGCGAACCCGCUAACGCCCAUGCGCCUCGUGCGUAACAAUAUUAGCGGUGAGGUGCGGCUUGCGUCUGCAGCGCCGCGGCGUCACGCGCAUGCUGAAAGCCGCUUCUCCUCGAGGGAUCGGCGAGGUCCUGCAGAAGGCACUAGAGUUAGCGCUCGCAGUCGACCUUGGCAACGGCGUAGGCACAAUAACGGGCCUAGAGAGCCGAGCACGCACAACGACGACGCGCUGAUCGUGGUGGAUGGAUACUGCUGUGACGAGUACGGUAACAUGAUUCGGGUUGAAGAAAUGGAUAACAUCUAUGGCAGAGCGCACUACAUCGCCCGUGCAACGGAGGCGGCCGCCGUUGUGGAGCCGCGCUCGAACACAAGUAUUCAGGAAGGCGGUGCCAGCCUCUCCCUCUUUACGGAAGCUGAGCCCGGCGAUGCCUACUGGGAUUGUAAGUAGUCGACAAGGGUGGCAGUGACUGGCUGUUUGGGGGGUCUACGUGUGUGCGUGUGUGUGUAUGUGUGCAGGGCUUACAAAACCGAAAACCACACAAUAAGCAACGAUGAUGUGAACAGCCACCCCCCCACUCGUCACAUCAUCGGAUUGGGCUGGGGAUGGGGGGAGUUGUGAGCCGCUGCUGAGUCGCUUUGGUUUUCUGCUGUUUGUGUGCUUCUGCAUACUCAAGCGGCUGGGAUUGGGGCAGUUUUGUUUUGUUUCUGUUUGCGCGUGUGUGUGUAUGUUGUCGCGUCUGCGUUGUAUGCUGACGUGUUCUCCUCAUGCGCAGCUCCGUCGCUUGCUUGGUUUGUUUUUUUUUUUGCUUUCCUGGUCGGUGUUCUGCAUUCGCUAGGCGUGUAGGAGGAGGAGUGAUGGGGUUGCAGCUUACGAGGACAUCCUGCGUUCGCAGUGCUACAGGCGCCUCGCAUCCCCUUUCUCCUCUCCGUCCCCCCGCCCUCCCUCCCUCCCCUGACUUGGAGCAACUAUUCUGCUGUCGCACUUGCUUUCUGUGAAUUACGUCACUUCUUGUCGCCUGCACUCCUCGGGAAUAGAGAUGUUCGCCUUUCGUGUGGUUCCCUGUGCGUGCCUCUUUCACGUGUUGGUGCCUCUAUUCUCGCGCCCAGCUGUCGCACGCCUCCCUCAUGCGUUGUGCCCGCAGGCGUGUGUGAGUCAACACUAUAAGCAUGGGCCAGCCGUGACUCUUUGAAUCUCUGUGUUUGUGAGCCGUCACUCGGGUUAUCCAAGGUAGGACUGCCGUUGGUUGGGGCUCGAUAAAUCUGAUGGGUGUGUAUGUGUGUGUUGGUCUGUAUGCAUCACCCCAAUGUGACUUUCGAGAUUCCGUGUGUAUAUAUGUGUGUGUCUUUCAUGGUCUCCUUCGACCCUCGUGCCCACCGCUGGAGGAUGGAGGCGCGCUGCUGUCUUUGUAUGGGGAUAGCUGCGUCGUUCCGUGUAGGCCCUUCUCCCCUUAUGCAUGCGUGUGUGUGUGUGUGUUUGUUUGUAAUGCUGCUGACCGCAAACUCCUUUGUUUCUCUCUCUCUCCGUGUCCCUUUCAGCGACCGCAUGCUGAGCAAUACACCAUAUUUUGUAUGCAUGUAACCCCCCGCCCCGCCCGGUGCUGUUCUUUCGAAUAUGCGUGUCUUGCCUUUUCUUUGUUUUCCGGACAUCGCGCGUGCCCUCGCCGUCGUCGGCGUCUCCUCCUCAUUUCGCCUUCUCAGGCGGACACUCCUAUUUUUCCUUCUCGUUGUUUUUCCUUUGGUUCUUUUGUCUCUUUACCUUCACGGCUUUACAUUUUUCCCCUCUCCGCUUCCUCAUACCUCUGCACCUCUACGCCUUGGCCUUUUUCUGCACCUCAUUGCAGCUACUCGACUGCCGACAACGGUCAGUCGCGGCAUCCAG